GGGACACGUGGUAUCCUGUCUGAAUAUGGGGGGACCAUCCUCCAAGGCUAAAUACUCCUGACUGACCGAUAGUGAACCAGUACCGUGAGGGAAAGGCGAAAAGAACCCCGGCGAGGGGAGUGAAAAAGAACCUGAAACCGUGUACGUACAAGCAGUGGGAGCACCUUCGGGUGUGACUGCGUACCUUUUGUAUAAUGGGUCAGCGACUUAUAUUCUGUAGCAAGGUUAACCGUAUAGGGGAGCCGCAGGGAAACCGAGUCUUAACUGGGCGUUAAGUUGCAGGGUAUAGACCCGAAACCCGGUGAUCUAGCCAUGGGCAGGUUGAAGGUUGGGUAACACUAACUGGAGGACCGAACCGACUAAUGUUGAAAAAUUAGCGGAUGACUUGUGGCUGGGGGUGAAAGGCCAAUCAAACCGGGAGAUAGCUGGUUCUCCCCGAAAGCUAUUUAGGUAGCGCCUCGUGAACUCAUCUUCGGGGGUAGAGCACUGUUUCGGCUAGGGGGUCAUCCCGACUUACCAACCCGAUGCAAACUACGAAUACCGAAGAAUGUUAUCACGGGAGACACACGGCGGGUGCUAACGUCCGUCGUGAAGAGGGAAACAACCCAGACCGCCAGCUAAGGUCCCAAAGUCAUGGUUAAGUGGGAAACGAUGUGGGAAGGCACAGACAGCCAGGAUGUUGGCUUAGAAGCAGCCAUCAUUUAAAGAAAGCGUAAUAGCUCACUGGUCGAGUCGGCCUGCGCGGAAGAUGUAACGGGGCUAAACCAUGCACCGAAGCUGCGGCAGCGACACUAUGUGUUGUUGGGUAGGGGAGCGUUCUGUAAGCCUGCGAAGGUGUGCUGUG
rnacentral:rRNA from 1 species